CCUACGGGUGGCAGCAGUCGAGAAUCAUUCACAAUGGGGGAAACCCUGAUGGUGCGACGCCGCGUGGGGGAAUGAAGGUCUUCGGAUUGUAAACCCCUGUCAUGUGGGAGCAAAUUAAAAAGAUAGUACCACAAGAGGAAGAGACGGCUAACUCUGUGCCAGCAGCCGCGGUAAUACAGAGGUCUCAAGCGUGGUUCGGAAUCACUGGGCGUAAGGCGUGCGUAGGCUGUUUCGUAAGUCGUGUGUGAAAGGCGCGGGCUCAACCCGCGGACGGCACAUGAUACUGCGAGACUAGAGUAAUGGAGGGGGAACCGGAAUUCUCGGUGUAGCAGUGAAAUGCGUAGAUAUCGAGAGGAACACUCGUGGCGAAGGCGGGUUCCUGGACAUUAACUGACGCUGAGGCACGAAGGCCAGGGGAGCGAAAGGGAUUAGAUACCCCUGUAGUC
rnacentral:rRNA from 1 species